AACGAACGCUGGCGGCAUGCCUAACACAUGCAAGUCGAACGAGACCUUCGGGUCUAGUGGCGCACGGGUGCGUAACGCGUGGGAACCUGCCCGUAGGUUCGGAAUAACUCCCCGAAAGGGGUGCUAAUACAGGAUAAUGUCUUCGGACCAAAGAUUUAUCGCCUUUGGAUGGGCCCGCGUUGGAUUAGCUAGUUGGUAGGGUACAAGCCUACCAAGGCGACGAUCCAUAGCUGGUCUGAGAGGAUGAUCAGCCACACUGGGACUGAGACACGGCCCAGACUCCUACGGGAGGCAGCAGUGGGGAAUAUUGGACAAUGGGCGAAAGCCUGAUCCAGCAAUGCCGCGUGAGUGAUGAAGGCCUUAGGGUUGUAAAGCUCUUUUACCCGGGAUGAUAAUGACAGUACCGGGAGAAUAAGCUCCGGCUAACUCCGUG
rnacentral:rRNA from 1 species